rnacentral:tRNA from 1 species
GUAAUGAAUGGCUAAGCGGUCAAAUCGUAAGUCUUCCGAUCUGAAGGUCUUGGGUUCAAGUCCAGAGCUUAACG